rfam:Hypsizygus marmoreus strain 51987-8 scaffold_30, whole genome shotgun sequence.
UCAAUUGCCCAUGCCCACCUUUUGGCUUAGAUCAAGUGUAGUAUCUGUUCUUAAUAGUUUAACCACUAUUAUGGAGGCACCGCCUCCAUUCUUGGUUAUCUUAUUUUUGCCGCCCUUGUCCCCUGUGCUCUGCUUGCAACACGGGGGCGCGAUGACCUUGCUACUGCACUACUGGCUUGCGUUGUCGGGGGAUC